CCAGAACGGGUCCGACGGCAAGGGACGAAAGAUAGGGGCACGAACCGGAUUAGAUACCCGGGUAGUCCUAGCCGUAAACGAUACUCGCUAGGUGUCGGCCCCGGUGCGACCGUGGUCGGCGCCGUAGGGAAGCCGUGAAGCGAGCCACCUGGGAAGUACGGCCGCAAGGCUGAAACUUAAAGGAAUUGGCGGGGGAGCACUACAACGGGUGGAGCCUGCGGUUUAAUUGGAUUCAACGCCGGAAAUCUCACCGGGGGCGACAGCAUGAUGAAGGCCAGGCUGAAGACCUUGCCUGAUCCGCUGAGAGGUGGUGCAUGGCCGUCGUCAGUUCGUACUGUGAAGCAUCCUGUUAAGUCCGGCAACGAGCGAGACCCACGCCCACAGUUGCCAGCGAGCCCUUCGGGGUGGCGGGUACUCUGUGGGGACCGCCGCUGCUAAAGCGGAGGAAGGAAUGGGCAACGGUAGGUCAGUAUGCCCCGAAUCUCCCGGGCUACACGCGGGCUACAAUGGUCGGUACAAUGGGUAUCUACCCCGAGAGGGGAUGGAAAUCUCCUAAAACCGGUCGUAGUUCGGAUUGAGGGCUGCAACUCGCCCUCAUGAAGCUGGAAUCCGUAGUAAUCGCGUUUCAACAGAACGCGGUGAAUACGUCCCUGCUCCUUGCACACACCGCCCGUCAAACCACCCGAGUAGGGUCUGGAUAAGGGUGCGCCAUGUUGACGCAUUCGAAUCUGGGCUUUGCAAGGGGGGUUAAGUCGUAACAAGGUAACCAAGGGCGAAU
rnacentral:rRNA from 1 species